GAGGGUAUUGCUCAGUGGAGGAGCACAUGUUUGGCAUGCAUCAGGUCCUGGGUUCAGUCCUCAGUGCCACCA
rnacentral:tRNA from 1 species